GUUGAAAGAGGUGUUAUAAUUGGGGUAAAGAAAACUGCUUUAGCCACCUGUGAUGUCAAAAUAGCUACGCAUCUGAAACAGAAACUGAAAAUUUGUUAUGCAGGAUUAUUUCAUUCAUCAGCAGGACCAUCUAUAUGUAUGUUAGUCAGAGAAGUGGCAGUAUGCCUUAUCUAAUUACAUCAAUAAAACAGGUACAUCUUUUAUUCUUUAAUUUUAAUGUAGCU
rnacentral:lncRNA from 1 species